UUAUCGUCAAUUUUUUGUGGUGCCCAGCCUCUAUUUCAUUCAAUGAAUAGAAUUGGGAUAAUCGGGAAACCAGUGAAAACCUGGUACUGCCCCCGCAACGGUAAUGGUGAGAACUGAGUGCGUUAAAUAGGCUUGUUGGAGAACUGACAAGUCUAUAACGUUUAAAAUUCAGCUUCGUGAGUCACAAUGGUGGCUUUAUCCUGAGUCCGGAGACCGGCCCAAAAAAUGAUUUUGAG
rnacentral:ncRNA from 2 species